CAGAGUUGUGGCAUGCUGUCCAAAGGCUGUUUGUCAUGUGAGCUGGAAUUUAAGCUGUGCCCUAGAGAGACCCUGAGGACAGGAGGACUUUUAAUGAUGGAUGGUAGAGAAAUUGAUACAUUUGUACUGAAAGUUCCUAAUACUGGUUGGCCACGGCUACACAAGAAAUCCUGCUUUUCAUGUGCAGAUCCAAGUUUGGACGAGGAACAAGAGCUGACAGUGCCAGCAGCUACCUAGUACCAGCCUGGAUUAUGCAGCCUGAAUUAAUCUGAGGCUUCAAAACCAUCUCCAAUUACUCCUAAUCCUUGGGACCACAG